rnacentral:rRNA from 1 species
UCUGAAGACAGCUCUACUGGCUGGCUUUGCCGGCUUUAGAGAGAAUAAUUAAAGACAACUCUCAACAACGGAUAUUUUGGCUCCCGUAACGAUGAAGAACGCAGCGAAAUGCGAUACGUAGUGUGAAUUGCAGAAUUCCGUGAACCAUCGAAUUUUUGAAAGCAAAUUGCGCUCGAGGCCUCGGCCAAGAGCAUGUCUGCCUCAGCGUCGGCUUUACCCUCAAAUAAAUUUCAUAGGUGAAUUCCAAUGAAAGGCAGCUGGAUCUGGCCGUCCGGUUUGCCUUUUGGGUUGCCGGUCAGCUGAAAUUCAUUCACGCUUUGGGAGCUGCUUUCCUUCGGGAAAGGCGAGUUCCGAUUUGGUAGGUCACCUUUGCCGGUUGCACGCUUUCGUUGCCCGCUAUGCUCUCAGUUGCGUUGUGCAGGACGCCUUUUGGCUUUCGACCUGAGGUCAGGCAAGAACACCCGCUGAACUUAAGCAUAU